UUCAUGUCUACUUCUCUUGGCCAUCCUUUCAUAGAGGUGUUAACAAGCUCAGGUCACUAACAGGAUGAAGGAAAGUCUGGAUUGUAGUGUUUGGCCCCAGAGGAAUUGAGGAAGACAUCAUGGUUUAACUCCCACACAUGAAUAAUCAUCUCACAAAAUAAAUUGAUUAUAUUUGCAGAAAUUCAGGCUGUUGCCAACCCAUCCGUUUUUGUCAUGAAAAACGGGACAAAUGUUGCUUGUCUGGUGAAGGAGUUCUACCCCAAAGAUGUAACUAUAAGUCUGGAAUCAUCCAAGAUAAUAAGAGAAUAUGACCGUGCUAUCGUCAUCUCUCCCAGUGGGAGGUACAGUGCUGUCAAGCUUGGUCAGUAUGGAGAUCCAGAUUCAGUGACAUGUUCAGUUCAACAUAACAAACAAACCUGGAGCUCUACUGACUUCGAACUGAAGAAAAGUACUUCAGAAAAUCCAAAACCAAAGGAACCUGAAAACAUCAAGCAAACUCAUACUCCAGAGACCUGCUAUGAGCCCCAAGCUGCAGUUCAAGCCAGGAAGGUGAACAUGAUGUCCCUUGCAGUGCUGGGGCUCCGAAUGCUGUUUGCCAAGAGUGUUGCCAUCAAUUUUCUCUUGACUGCCAAGUUAUUUUUCUUUUAAGGCUGACUGGCAUGAGAAGGCUACACGCCCUG